AAUAGAGUGCCUGAAUAAAGGAUUAUCUUGAUAGGAUAAAUAAUGUGAAUUUCACCUCUAUUG
rnacentral:tRNA from 1 species